AACGAACGCUGGCGGCAGGCCUAACACAUGCAAGUCGAACGCUGUAGCAAUACAGAGUGGCAGACGGGUGAGUAACGCGUGGGAACAUACCCUUCGGUUCGGAAUAACUCAGGGAAACUUGAGCUAAUACCGGAUACGUGCGAGAGCAGAAAGAUUCAUCGCCGAAGGAUUGGCCCGCGUUCGAUUAGCUUGUUGGUGAGGUAAUGGCUCACCAAGGCGACGAUCGAUAGCUGGUCUGAGAGGAUGAUCAGCCACAUUGGGGACUGAGACACGGCCCAAACUCCUACGGGAGGCAGCAGUGGGGAAUAUUGGACAAUGGGCGAAAGCCUGAUCCAGCCAUGCCGCGUGAGUGAUGAAGGCCCUAGGGUUGUAAAGCUCUUUCGUCAGGGACGAUAAUGACGGUACCUGAAGAAGAGCCCCGGCUAACUUCGUGCCAGCCGCCGCGGUAAC
rnacentral:rRNA from 1 species